ACUCAAAGGAAUUGACGGGGGCCCGCACAAGCGGAGGAACAUGUGGUUUAAUUCGAUGAUACGCGAGGAACCUUACCCGGGCUUGAAAUGCAUCUGACCGGCAAAGAGAUUUGCUUUUUCCUCGGAACGGAUGCGUAGGUGCUGCAUGGUUGUCGUCAGCUCGUGCCGUGAGGUGUCGGCUUAAGUGCCAUAACGAGCGCAACCCUCAUCGUUAGUUGCCAUCAGGUUAUGCUGGGGACUCUAGCGAGACUGCCAUCGUAAGGUGCGAGGAAGGUGGGGAUGACGUCAAAUCAGCACGGCCCUUAUGUCCGGGGCGACACACGUGUUACAAUGGGCGGUACAAAGGGUUGCCACCCGGUGACGGGGCGCCAAUCCCCAAAACCGCUCUCAGUUCGGAUCGGAGUCUGCAACUCGACUUCGUGAAGCUGGAUUCGCUAGUAAUCGCGCAUCAGCCACGGCGCGGUGAAUACGUUCCCGGGCCUUGUACACACCGCCCGU
rnacentral:rRNA from 1 species